rnacentral:rRNA from 1 species
GUUGGGAAUAUUGGACAAUGGGAGCAAUCCUGAUCCAGCUACCCCGCGUGAGUGAUGAAGGCCUUCGGGUCGUAAAGCUCUUUUAGAAGGGACGAAGGGAAACUUGACGGUACCUUCAGAAAAAGCACCGGCUAACUCUGUGCCAGCAGCCGCGGUAAUACAGAGGGUGCAAGCGUUGUUCGGAAUCAUUGGGCGUAAAGCGCGUGUAGGCGGCCAUCUAAGUCUGGUGUGAAAGCCCGAAGCUUAACUUCGGAAGUGCACUGGAUACUGGAAGGCUAGAGGACGAGAGAGGAGAUUGGAAUUCAUGGUGUAGGGGUGAAAUCCGUAGAUAUCAUGAGGAACAUCAGUGGCGAAGGCGAAUCUCUGGCUCGUAUCUGACGCUGAGACGCGAAAGCGUGGGGAGCAAACAGGAUUAGAAACCCCAGUAGUCC